UUCCUCUUGAUCUCUUUCUCUUCUCUUUCUUUUUAUCUUUUCUUUCUUUCUCUCUUCCCAAGCCGAAGAGGGUUUUCAUGACAAGGGAGAGGGUAGAGGGGAGGAGGGGAUAAGGUGACAACGGAAGUGGUGCAGUGAUGGUGGCACAAUGGUGAUAGCACGGCGGUGGUCUGGUUGGCAUAGGAGAUUCAAGAGAAACAUGAGGUGCUGCCCCUUUCAUCAUGGUGGCAGCACCCAAGCCGGGAAAAUGAAAGAGAAAGCUUACUGGUAGCAGUGGUGGUGACAAUGAAUUGUGGCCAAUGGGG
rnacentral:lncRNA from 1 species